AAGAGCGAAAUUCUGUCUCAACAAAACAAAACAAACAAACAAACAAAAAACCAAAAGAGGCUAUGUCACAAACUAUACCUAAAUGAAAGAUACAUUCAUCCUCCUCCCUCCUACUGCUUUGAUGAUCAUUUAUGGCAUUUCAUAAGUGUAGUUUUAAAAAGUCUGGAUUGGGGGUUUUCAGGUCCUUUUUGGUGGACAAAGGAAGAUUUCUGGAAAUUCCAUUAUAACCAGCUCUUUCAGGGAAGUUGUUUUUCAAUCCAAACUUAAACUACAUUCCUAGUAUAUGAACAUGUUUGUCUUUUACCCCUUCCCUCAUUGUCUCCUUCCCAUCUAGUACUACUGUAUAGACAUCUGCGUAUUUACAAGAGUUUUACCCAUUUUACAAAAUAUGUGAGAACUAUUGACAUACUGAGGAUGUGGUACAAUAUGAACCUUGGAAAAAGGUAGAUAUUGAAGAAAUAAUAGGUAUCUUGUGAUUUAAUACUUUGUAGCAGGACUGUACUGAGGUGUGAGAUGAGCAGGCCUUGUUUUCAGGACCCUGCUGAUCAAAACUGGAUAUGGCAAAGAAAUGGGCCAAAACCAGAUAUGACUAGGAAUUAUAGUGCAUUUGCAUAAGACACUCCUAGCAAUGCCAUGACAGUUUGUAAAUGAUGCCAUGGAAAUGACUCAGAAGUUACCUUAUAUGGUUCUGGGAAUUCCCUGCCCCUUUUCAGAAAGCUCAUGAAUAACCCGCCCCUUAUUUAGGAUACAAUUAAGAGUGGAUAUAAAUAAAGCUAGUCAGCACUCCACAAGUGCUACUCUGGGCCAGUCUACCUAUGGAAUAGCUCUCCUUUGUCUAUGGAGCAGCCAAUUUGCUGCAUACAGUGGCUCUAAUAAGCUUGCUUUUAUUUCACUGUCUGCUCACUCUUGAAUUCUUUCCUGAGUGAAGCCAAAAACCCUCCCUGGGUGAGCCUCAGUUUUGAGGUUUGCCUGCAUGAGCCCUGUAAGCAAAUGAAUCAGACAACUACGCGAAUCAUAAACAAGAACUUAAUACAUACAGUAAAUUAGGAUAUUUCCUAACAUUUAACCUUCCUUAUAUUAACUGCUCAUGGUGCAUUAUUCCUUGAAUAUGCUGCUCUGGAUUAUAUUUUCUAAUGUUUGGGGCUUUCCCAUUAAAUGUUGCAGGAAACCACAUCUGUAACCCACAUGCAAUACUUCUCUACUGAGAGAUGCAUGAAGGAGCAGAAAAAUGUGUUCACAGAGCCUCACUCAUCUCAAAAUAUCUCAUGUACCCCAUAAAUACAUACACCUAUUAUGUACCCACAAAAAUUAAACAUUAAAAUAUUUUUAAAAAGAACCUCACUCAAGUGGCAUCGAGAGCCCAGGGUGUGUGAAGGAAUACCCUACAGCUGAUGACUGAGGAACAGGGUGGGGUGCCUCAUCAACAUUCAGAACAUGAACCUUCUGCUCUCCACCAGCAGCGGUCUCCACCUCCGCAUGCACACUAGCAGCCAUGGGCUCCUCCUCUGCUCCCCGCCUCUCCUCCCUGCGCAGUGUGGGAAAUAUCGGCCCCGCCCCUUUGAUCCGACUCUGCCUCCUCAACUGCGAUAGGUCCGUCCCCGCGUUGGUCCCUUUGCCCUUGUGUGCCUGGUGACUCUCCGGUGCACUGGCGACAACUGGGCUUUGUGGGCGGAGCUUGCGCAGGCGCUGCACAAAGCUGGGCUCCUGUUACACAUUGGACAGACAACCCACAGCCGCCGCUGCCAACCCCCCUCCACUCCUUCAGACUGCCAGACUGCCAGACGACCACAUCAUUCUGCCCACAGACCAUCGCCAUCCAUCGCAUCCCACCAAGACUGCUGCUCCUAGUGAUCUGGACUCACCUAGGAGAAUUGGCUCUCAUGAUUAUGGAUGCUGAGAAGUCUUAAGAUCUGGUCAGCAAGCUGGAACCCCAGAAGAGCUGAUGCCCAGUCUGAGUCCAAAGGCCUGAGAAUCAGGUGAGCCAACAGUAUAUGCUUCAGUCUGAAAGCUGGCAGGCUCAAGACCCAAGAAGAGCUGAUGUUUCAGCUCAAGUCAGAAGGCAAGGAGAACAGAUGUUUCAGCUCAGAGCAGUCAAGCAGGAGGAGUUCUCUCUUACUACUGGAAGAAUCAUCCUUUUUGUUCUCUUCAGGCCAUCAACUGAUUGGAUGAGGGGAGGGAAAUCUGCUUUACUCAGUCUAUUGAUUCAAAUGUUAAUCUUAGCCCCAAACACUCUCACAGACACACUCAGACUAAUAUUUGACCAAACAAAUAUUAGGGAGAGAGGGAGGGAAAGGAAGAGAGAAAAUUAAUGUCAGUGCAGUUCAGUGCGUUAACCCUUGUAUUGGCCCCAUUAGCAUGUAUGCAACUUUUUUUUUUUUCUGGUCCAUCCUGCACAGCUUUUCAGAAAUGACAAGUCAGUAUACUCCCUCUUCAAUCCUCUCCUUUUCCUCAGAAGUGUCUCCUAAUAAGUAGAUCUAUAUACUUGUCUUGGGACCUGGAUAACAUUUUGGAGUUAUAAAUUGUCCUAAUAAUUUCUUAUAUAUUCAAAAAUCUUUAUAUGAAAUGAUGACAUAGAGACACAAGAGGGUGCUAGCAAUACAGAUAAAUGUUUUCACAACAACAUAUUGAAAUUUGAGAAAUUAUUAUAUUGGUGGUGAAUUACAUUGGUGCAUUCAGCUCUCUAAUUAUCAGGUUCUAUGUCUUAACUGGUUAACAUUGUAUAAUUAUAAUGCCUAGUUUAGUAUUUUCUUUCACAAUUCAUAUGUCAUUUCCUUUAACCUUCUCUGUAAACCUUGAUUAUUUGACUGGUUCAAUCAUGCAUCAUCAGUUAUGUAGUAAGUACUUCCUAUGUUCCAGGUACUGUACUAUGAACUGUUGUUACAUCAUUGCAGAAUUGUGGUCCAAGCCUUCAAGGAAUUUACUGUAAAGUUGGCUGUAGUGGAAAUAUAUGUAUGUGGAGUCUGAGCUUUGGAUUUGAUUAAGAAGGACUUGAGACCAUGCUUGGUUACACCAUUUAUAUGACAUUAUAUAAAUUCUUUAACCUUCCUAAGCCACUAUUUUUUCAUAUGUAAAGUGGGUCAAAUAACACCUAUAUAUUGGGGUCCUUAUGGGCAUUCAGUAAGAUAAUGAAUAUAAAGUUCUGAUCAUUAAAUAGAUGGGAUGUACCGUAACUAUAAUAACAACAAUAAUUUUAUUAUUUUUUUAGGAUGAUAAUGACUUGAAGCCUGUAUAUGGCAGAGUGGGAACAUAGUAGAAAGAACAUUUAAAUCUUACCUACAUGAGGCAGGGAACAUCUCAAUAGAGGAAGUAGUAAAUGAGUUGAGAUUUGACUCCAAUCUAAGAGGCCACCUCUAUCUGAGAUAUAGAAGAAUGAGAGAGUGUGGUUAAUCAUGUAAAAUUUAGGAAAAGGACAUGGUAGGAGUUUAGAUGGCAUAGAUGGAAGGCUACAUCAUAAUGGGUCAUGUUUGUUGUGCUAAGGCAUAUAUCAAUUAUCCUGUACUCAGUAGGGAACAACGGAAAGAUAUUGAAUGUGGGACUGAUUUGAUCAGAUUUGUGUUUUAAGGUUUGCUGGGGUGGAAAUUUUUAUUUCUUUGAUGAAUAGUAACAUUAAGCAUAUUUUUCAUGUCCUUAUGGUCCAUUCGUAUAUUUUCUUUUAUGAAGAAUCUGUUCAAGUGAUCCAUCUUAAAAAUUGUGUCAUUUUUUUCUUUUUCUUACUAAGUUAUAGUGGGUCUUUAUAUGACCAAUCCUUUGUCAUAUACAUGUAUGUCAAAUGUUUUCUCUAACUGUGUACCUUCCUGUUCAAUUUUUUGAAAGUUAUCUUUUGAAAAGCAACAGAUUUUCAUUUAUAUGAAGUCCAGUUUGUAAUUUUUGUCUUUCGUGAUUUUAGAUCUUCCAACAACCAGAUGCCAAGAAGGAAUUAGACAUUUGAGGGAUUUCUUGGGGAAAACACCUGUGGAGGAUAAAGGAGAAGAUGACACAGCAACAAGGUGGUCUACAAACCAAGAAGAGGGCCCUCACAAGAUACCAAAUCUACCAACACCUUGAUCUUGGAUUUUCAAAUCUCCAGAACUGUGAGAAAUAAAUGUUUGUUGUUUAAGCUACC